GUGAACGGUGGCGGCGUGGAUAAGGCAUGCAAGUCGAACGUGCGGCCGCAAGGUCGUAACGUGGCAAACGGGUUAGUAACGCGUGGGAAACAUACCCCAGAGCGAGGAAUAACGCGCCGAAAGGCGUGCUAAUCCCUCAUACGCUUGUGAUCUGAAAUGUUCACAAGGAAAGGGGUCGCCUUAGGCGACUCCGCUCCGGGAGUGGCCUGCGUCCUAUCAGCUAGUUGGCGAGGUAAUGGCUCACCAAGGCGACGACGGGUAGGGGGUGUGGGAGCACGACCCCCAACACUGGGACUGAGACACCGCCCAGACACCUACGGGUGGCUGCAGUCGAGAAUCUUCGUCAAUGGGCGAAAGCCUGAACGAGCGACGCCGCGUGAUGGAAGAAGGCCUUCGGGUUGUAAACAUCUUUUCAACGGGACGAAUUACUGACGGUACCGUUGGAAUAAGGGGUUCCUAACUCUGUGCCAGCAGGAGCGGUAAUACAGAGACCCCAACCGUUACCCGGAUUCAUUGGGCGUAAAGCGUCCGCAGCCGGACAUGUUAGUGGCGCGUUAAAUCCAGGGGCUCAACCCCUGGGCCGCGCGCCAAACGGCAUGUCUCGAGGAAUAGAGAGGUACAUGGAACUCACAGUGGAGCAGUGAAAUGCGUCGAGAUUGUGGGGAACACCGAUGGCGAAGGCAGUGUACUGGAUAUUUCCUGACGGUCAGGGACGACAGCGUGGGGAGCGAACGGGAUUAGAUACCCCGGUAGUCCACGCCGUAAACGAUGCACACGAGGCAUGGGGACCACUGACGUCUCCGUGUCGUAGCUAACGCGGUAAGUGUGCCGCCUGGGAAGUACGGCCGCAAGGCUAAAACUCAAAGGAAUAGACGGGGACCCGCACAAGUGGUGGAACGUGAGGUUCAAUUCGACGAUAAACGAAACACCUCACCAGGCCUUGAAAGCUAUGCGAACGUUGCAGAAAUGUGACAGUGCCCCUUUGGGGAACGCAUGGUACAGGUGCUGCAUGGUUGUCGUCAGCUCGUGCUGUGAAGUGUUCGGUUAAGUCCGGGAACGAGCGCAACCCUCAUCGUGCGUUACAUGUGUCGCGCGAGACUGCCGUGGUCAACACGGAGGAAGGCGGGGAUGACGCCAAAUCAGCAUGGCCCUCUGACGGCCUGGGCGACACUCGUGUUACAAUGGCCGGGACAAAGGGACGCAAAGCCGCGAGGCGAAGCAAAUCCCAUCAAACCCGGUCCCAGUUCGGAUUGGAGUCUGCAACUCGACUCCAUGAAGCCGGAAUCACUAGUAACCGUGAAUCAGCACGUCACGGUGAAUACGUUCUCGGGUUUUGUACUCACCGCCCGUCAUGUCAGAAGAGGAAGGGGCACCCGAAGUUCCCGUUGAUCGGGGCCGAAGGUGACACUUCUAAUUAGGACA
rnacentral:rRNA from 1 species